rnacentral:rRNA from 1 species
AAAUAGCUGCAAUUUUAUUGCACUAAGGUAGCAUAAUCAAUUGCCUUUUAAAUAAAGGAUAGAAUGAAAGGAAACCCGAAUUUUAAACUUUAUUUAAUUUUAAAAACAAAACUAAAUUUUGAGUUAAAAUACUCAUUAAAACAGAAAGACGACAAGACCCUAUCGAACUUCACAUAAGUUCCGCUGGGGAAGCACUUUAACUAAAUCUUAAAAUUUACACAAAAAAGAACCUUUCUGUUAAUUGAACAAGUUACCGUAGGGAUAACAGCAUAAUAAAAUUUCAAAGCUCAUAUUUUAAAUUAAGUUUAUGACCUCGAUGUUGAAUUAAUACUCUGUUGAAAGCAAAAAUUUCUUAAGAAAGACUGUUCGUCUUUUAAAUAAUUACAUGAUUUGAGUUCAGACCGGUGUAAGCCAGGUCGGUUUCUAUCUUCUUUGACUAAUUACCAGUACGAAAGGACCUUAAUUUGAUUAAAACUCCCAAUUUGACAGAACAAUGUAUUAGAAUUAGAAUCUAACUAUACCUUUAAUACAAGCAACAAACACACUUCUAAUCGCGUUGAGCAUCCUUCUAAGCGUUGCUUUUUACACUAUGCUAGAACGCAAAAUCUUGAGAUAUAUCCAAAUUCGAAAAGGACCUAACAAAGUCGGUUUAAUAGGAAUUUUACAGCCAUUCAGAGACGCACUCAAAUUAUUCACAAAAUCUUUUGCUUUUCCAAUCCCAUCCAACCACAAACUAGCUAUUUUAGCACCCCCUAUAACCUUUUUACUCGCACUAAUUAUAUGGCCCCUUCUUCCUUUUGCUAAAACCAAUAUUAUAGACAGACUAUUUAGCGCUCUCAUUUUUCUCAUUCUUUCGAGAUUAACUGUGUACUUUAUUA